rnacentral:rRNA from 1 species
AGGAAUAUUGGUCAAUGGGCGGAAGCCUGAACCAGCCAUGCCGCGUGCAGGAAGACGGCUCUAUGAGUUGUAAACUGCUUUUGUACUAGGGUAAUUUGCGGUACGUGUACCGUAUUGAAAGUAUAGUACGAAUAAGGAUCGGCUAACUCCGUGCCAGCAGCCGCGGUAAUACGGAGGAUCCGAGCGUUAUCCGGAUUUAUUGGGUUUAAAGGGUGCGUAGGCGGCCUUUUAAGUCAGCGGUGAAAGUCUGUGGCUCAACCAUAGAAUUGCCGUUGAAACUGGGAGGCUUGAGUAUGUUUGAGGCAGGCGGAAUGCGUGGUGUAGCGGUGAAAUGCUUAGAUAUCACGCAGAACCCCGAUUGCGAAGGCAGCCUGCCAAGCCAUGACUGACGCUGAUGCACGAAAGCGUGGGGAUCAAACAGGAUUAGAUACCCUGGUAGUCCACGCAGUAAACGAUGAUCACUAGCUGUUUGCGAUACAGUGUAAGCGGCACAGCGAAAGCGUUAAGUGAUCCACCUGGGGAGUACGCCGGCAACGGUGAAACUCAAAGGAAUUGACGGGGGCCCGCACAAGCGGAGGAACAUGUGGUUUAAUUCGAUGAUACGCGAGGAACCUUACCCGGGUUUGAACGCAUUCGGACCGAGGUGGAAACACCUUUUCUAGCAAUAGCCGUUUGCGAGGUGCUGCAUGGUUGUCGUCAGCUCGUGCCGUGAGGUGUCGGCUUAAGUGCCAUAACGAGCGCAACCCUUGCCACUAGUUACUAACAGGUGAUGCUGAGGACUCUGGUGGGACUGCCAGCGUAAGCUGCGAGGAAGGCGGGGAUGACGUCAAAUCAGCACGGCCCUUACAUCCGGGGCGACACACGUGUUACAAUGGCGUGGACAAAGGGAUGCCACCUGGCGACAGGGAGCGAAUCCCCAAACCACGUCUCAGUUCGGAUCGGAGUCUGCAACCCGACUCCGUGAAGCUGGAUUCGCUAGUAAUCGCGCAUCAGCCAUGGCGCGGUGAAUACGUUCCCG